rnacentral:rRNA from 1 species
GAGUUUAUCUUAAACACUUGUUACAUGGCACCUGAUACUUUAUUACAUUUCUAGUGGCGGACGGGUGAGUAACACGUUGGAACCUGCCCCAAAGUGAGGAAUAAGCCACCGAAAGGUGGUCUAAUACUUCAUAAUAUCCAUCUCGUAUGGAUUAAAGCUUUAUGCGCUUUGGGAGGGGCCUGCGUAACAUUAGCUUGUUGGUGAGGUAAAAAGCUCACCAAGGCUUCGAUGUUUAACUGGUUUGAGAGGAUGACCAGUCACACUGGGACUGAGAUACGGCCCAGACUCCUACGGGAGGCAGCAGUAAGGAAUCUUCCACAAUGGGGCAACCCUGAUGGAGCAAUACCGCGUGCAGGAUGAAGCGUUUCGGCGUGUAAACUGCUUUUAUCACCGAAGAUUGUGACUGUAGGUGAAGAAUAAGGACCGGCUAACUACGUG